AUUGAACGCUGGCGGCAGGCCUAACACAUGCAAGUCGAACGAGUGGCGGACGGGUGAGUAAUGUCUGGGAAACUGCCUGAUGGAGGGGGAUAACUACUGGAAACGGUAGCUAAUACCGCAUACCAUCAUUUGUGCCCAGAUGGGUUUAGCUAGUUGGUGGGGUAACGGCUCACCAAGGCGACGAUCCCUAGCUGGUCCGAGAGGAUGACGCUCCACUCUGGAAGUGAGACACGGUCCAGACUCCUACGGGUGUCAGCGGUGGCGAAUAUUCGACUAUGGGCGCAAGCCUGAUGCAGUCAUGCCGCGGUUAUGAAGCAGGCCUUCGGGUUGUAAAUUACUUUCAGCGGGGAGGCGUUACCCGCAGAAGAAGCAACGGCUAACUCCGUGCCAGCAGCCGCGGUAAUUC
rnacentral:rRNA from 1 species